AUGCUCCGCGUGCGAGAAUCCAUCGUUUCCCAUCUCCUCUCUUCACCCUCCGCCCCUGCCACAUCCGCACUCCGUCGCCUCCUCUCCGCUGCCGCGGCCGCCAUUUCUCCAAACCCCGGUGGAUUCGCCGUCGAGGACUACCUCGUUGACACCUGCGGCCUCACCCGGCCCCAGGCGCUCAAGGCCUCCACCAAGCUCUCCCACCUCAAGUCCCCCGCCAACCCCAACGCCGUCCUCUCCUUCCUCUCCGGCCUCGGCCUCUCCCGCGCCGAUGUCGCCGCCGUCGUCGCCAAAGACCCGCUUUUCCUCUGCGCCGGCGUGGAGAGAACCCUGCUCCCCGUCGUCGACGGGCUCACCGGCCUCCGCCUGUCGCGUUCCGAGAUUGGCGGCCUCGUCUCGCUUGUUCACAGUGCCUUCCGCUGCAGAUCCGUCGUCUCCAAGGUGCAGUACUACCUGCCCCUCUUCGGCUCAUUGGACAACUUACUCCGGAUGCUCAAGCGCGAAACCCACCUUCUGUCGGCCGACCUCGACAAGGUGGUCAAGCCCAAUGCCGUGUUCCUAAGGGACUGCGGGCUAGGUGAUUGUGAUAUUGCCAAGCUGUGCGUCUCUGUGCCGAGGAUGCUCACCACCAACCCGGAGCGUGUUCGGGCCAUGGUGGCAUGUGCCCAAGGUAUAGGCGUGCCCCGUGGCUCUGGGAUGUUCAGGCAGGCACUGCAGGCUGUCGCAUUUCUCAGCGAGGAGAAGAUUGCCGCCAAAGUGGACUACUUGAAGAAUACCUUCAGGUGGUCUGAUGCCCAAGUGAGCAUUGCUGUCUGUAAGGCUCCGAAUCUGCUGAGGAAGUCAAAUGCAACACUGCAGCAAAAGUCUGAGUUCCUCCUCUCUGAGGUGGGGCUGGAACCAGCGUAA
rnacentral:rRNA from 1 species